rnacentral:rRNA from 1 species
AUUGAACGCUGGCGGCAUGCCUUACACAUGCAAGUCGAACGGCAGCACGGGUGCUUGCCCCUGGUGGCGAGUGGCGAACGGGUGAGUAAUACAUCGGAACAUGUCCUGUAGUGGGGGAUAGCCCGGCGAAAGCCGGAUUAAUACCGCAUACGAUCUACGGAUGACAGCGGGGGACCUUCGGGCCUCGCGCUAUAGGGUUGGCCGAUGGCUGAUUAGCUAGUUGGUGGGGUAAAGGCCUACCAAGGCGACGAUCAGUAGAUGGUCUGAGAGGACGACCAGCCACACUGGGACUGAGACACGGCCCAGACUCCUACGGGAGGCAGCAGUGGGGAAUUUUGGACAAUGGGCGAAAGCCUGAUCCAGCAAUGCCGCGUGUGUGAAGAAGGCCUUCGGGUUGUAAAGCACUUUUGUCCGGAAAGAAAUCCUUGGCUCUAAUACAGUCGGGGGAUGACGGUACCGGAAGAAUAAGCACCGGCUAACUACGUG